rnacentral:lncRNA from 1 species
AAAAAAAUCAACUUAAUUUGCAAAUAUUACUUUAUCAGGGUGUCUAAAAAUAUGUAAUUGUUUUCUAAUUUUUCCCCUACCACAUAGUUUUAUAGGUAUUUGGGGGAACUUAUUGCUCUGGGAAUUGGUCUAAAUCAUGGUAGUAGGAGAGGAAGAAUUAAAUGGAUAUAAAAUUUUUCUGCUGUGAUGAAUUUCUGCCAGAGAUCUUGAAAAUUAUUUCGUAGAACCUGUCUAAGGCUGUAGUAAACGAUGAUCUUUUCUACCAGGUGGGUUCUGAAUUGAUUCAAAGGUACUCAGCUGCUGCAUCAUCUUUAUUUUCACACAUCAAAGAACUCUGGCACAUCUACUAAGUCACAUAGAAAGACCCAGAAUCAGCAGUUACCCUCAAGUUACUCUGGAAGAACUUCCUAGGCUCAAACAAAACCCCAAAUUACGUACGGACCAGGGGAAGGACACUCAGUUUUGUUGGCUUCAUCCUGUGACUCCCUGCCUGUUAGCUUGCUCAGGGGCAGAUGCUGGAGCUCAGGGCCACCAGCGUGACAUAAAGGUGACUGGGCAGAUGUGCCUGGCAUGCCGAGCCACAGAACGGGCAGAAGAUGCAGCAGCUGGGGGCUUGUUUCUUCUUCUGGACCUGGAACUCCAUGGAGUCAGGAGAAAAGUUGUGCUUUUGUCAAAUACAUGUAAGGUCAAUGACGUAGCCAAUGCAGGAUGGAUGGAAAAAUAAGAGGCCCUGUCAGUGUCCACAAGACUGGAAGUAUUGUUCCUGUAAAUUAAUGUAGAAUUAAAAAAAAAAAAAGAGAAACCUUCUCUGCUUUCCCCUAUUUGCAAGCCAAUUGAACAUGUCUUUGUGGUGGGGGAGGCACGCUGGACUCUAUGGAAUCAGCUUCUAGUAUUCAAAGGAGCAACUGGAAAUGAAAACAUGACUAUACAUCAGCAUGCUGGCACCUUGUUUUAGCUGAUGAAACAACAGUAAACCUCACAGCUUCAAGGUAAACUAUGUCUGCCAAAACUACCUGAAGUUCAUAAGAGUAAUUAAGAUCUACACCCAGAAGAAUAAUUAAAAUAUUCAAAACAUCUAUUGAUCUUGAACAUCUGGUGACUUGUCAGUAACCACAGAUACACAAAACCAGCCUGUUUUAACAUACUGUUAAUUUGCAGUCUUUGAUUAAAUAGAUUUUUUUUGGUAUGUGUCCGUAAUAACUAAAAGGAUCAGCCCUGCCAUUCAUUACAUUCUUUUUAAUAAAUGACCUCUGUUUUGUAUCCCAGCAGGGAAGUUUGUAACAGUGAAUGUUCCUGUCGAUUGAAAAUUGAUCUUUUCCAAGGGAUGUUCUAAAAGAUUAAGCAGGUAUCUUUAGGCAUGAGACUCAGGUCACCUCCAUCCUGUAAGUAGCAUUCUUGAUUUUAUUUCUGUUUUUGUUUUUAGAUCUGUGGCUUCAGCCAAGACCUGUGUCUUUCAGACCACAGAAUUUUUUUCUCUUCUACUAACUUUGAAAAUAUGUAAGUCACAAGUUGCAUUGAUACAUGAAAAAAUAAAUAGUGGGAUAUAGACGAUAAUGACUAUACUCAUGUCAUGUUGAAGAGAAAAAUACCUGUCUCUAUAGACAUUUCAUAGCUUAUUGAUCUUUGCAAGAAUAUUUUUUUCUUCUCAGCCUCAAAAUCUGCUGCAAAACAACUGACCUUUUCUUUUUAAAUAAUGUAAAUAAUUUCUUUUUUGAUGGACUAGAACCACAGGGCCUGGUCAUGCCCUAUUAAAUACUAUUGAUGGAAGCAGAGUACAACUUGGAGUAAUGUCAGCCAAAGUAUCUUUCUGUCAAAUUACCAUUUUCAAGUCUGAAUAAACUAUACAAUAAAGAAAAAAGAAAACCUAACCCUACAGGGCAAUCCAGAAGGAAAAAGAAAAAAAAAAAAAAAAAAAAAAAAGACAAAACCAAUAAACCAAAUAAACCAAGCUAACAAACAAAACCUGUGUGGCUAUCUGAAAAUUGACUACGUUGCAGAUUGUAUUACAAGUUGAACAUGGAUUAAAUUUGUUGAAAGAUAGCUCAAGUUCACAAGAUCUCAGAGCAAUUUUAAAUCUAUUUAAGAUGGCUUACUCACUGCAUUAUUUGAUAAUGUCUGACCUUAGUGAAACAUCCAAAGGAGAUCUCUCUUCUUAGAGUUGUAUUUUCAGUGGAGCACAUUCACGGUGCAUUGAAAUUCUGGGUCUUGAGAAUGGUUGCACUAAGCCCUUCAGAAUUAAACCACUGAGCAUCAUAAACUCAAAAGUCCAUGUAUCAAGCUCAUGACAGAAGGGUCUUGAAUCCACCUCCUGCCCAAAGGUAUGCAGGAGGCCCUUAUAGUCACUGUGUUCUUGCUUCUUUUUGCUAAUAUCUAUGAAAACUUGACUACCGCACCCCGCUCUGUCUGUGUAAUGUAUGUAUAAUUUUUUAUUUAUCACUUUAAACUCUGGCAAUGAUCAUGUUAUAGUGCUGGUUUUGCCUAAGAGACAUGUAGUUUGAAAAGUAUGAUAUAGUCCCAAAACUGCUGCAAGGCAAAUGUUGAAGCAGUGAUGGAGCCACUGUUUCAAUCUUCCUGGGACUUGCUUAUAAUUU